rnacentral:ncRNA from 1 species
CGCGAGCGCGCCAGCCGCGCUCGCGGACGAGGGAGCCGUACCCGCCCAGCGACAAGACGGCCAGAU